GUGAGCGGGGGCUCUGGGUGAUGUGGGGAGCAACAGGCGCCCUCCCCCAUGGCCCCUGCUCAUUCCU
rnacentral:miRNA from 1 species